UCGAGAGGUGAAGAUUCCCGAAGUCUUGUGCAAAAUUAUGUUUAUCGAAGAACUGCGCGUAUUUACAGAUGAGGCUUCCUGUGGAUCGUGUAACCACUCUGGCGUUCAAGCCGGGAUAUGCACUUCCCGUUCCGAGAGGAUUCUCUUCGCUCUGUCUGUGUGUGUGUGCACACAUACGCGAGAGAGGAGGCAGGAUACGCGCACGUGGGAAAGGUGCAGAUAGUCGACCCAAUAGAAAGAAGAUAGCGAUUCUGCGCCUGCGCGAGUGACCGGCACUGCUGCUGCAGCCCCCUGUAGGAUAUCAGCCUUGUGGAGGUAUUUAAGUAUUUUCAUUCGCUUCGACCACCCAACGAUCUAUCGGAAUCUCGACGAAUUCAUCGGAGAAAUUAAAAUCUACGAGAGUCUCGUCGCACACGAGGCACCCACAGAUUAGAAAACGCUGACGCUACGAGAGAAGCGCCGGGACAGCUGAAGGAAAAAACACAUCGUGCCCGCUGCGAUUAUACAACGUUCUUCUUUCAUUUAUCAAUGAUAGCGAGUGCUAGGGCGCGAUGAACCAGCGAGACAAGCCUGUCCCUCUCUCUCUCUCUCUCUCUCUCUCUCUCUCUCUCUCUCUCUCUCUCUCUCUUUCCACAACGAUCUCCGAUAAAACUCGCAGAGAGCCUCUCGUCGUUCGCCGAAAAACGUUCGUCUCUACUCUAUUUGCAUGCGGUUUACGCUCUUAAAAAUAGCCGCGAAAUUUGAAUGGUAAAAAAGAGCACGGCACAACAAUGCGCUCCAAGCUGUCAGCUGCGGGAGGAGCGAAAAAGAAACACGCUCUUUCUCGCGACGGCUAAUUAGAAAAGUCGUUAAACAGAAACGCGCGCACGGCUAUUGCUAAAAAUACGAAGGUCCGCGUUGCACGUAAGAAUAUCGUUAAGAAGAGCAUCGUUUCUCGAAAGGCCUAUAUUCUAUUUCACCGCGCUUCGUAGAACAUAUAACGCGUCCAUCCCGAAAUCCAUCAUUAAUUAAAAUGUACACCCGCGCGCGUCUCUCCUAUACGUGAGUCUUUGUGUGUUUCCCUCUUCUUCUCAUCUAUAGGCCAGCUCUUUCUCUCUGGGCUGCCUUUUUUCUUCCGCACGACGAGGCGCGUGUUGUCUCUCUCUCUCUCUCUCUCUCGCGCGCAGAAAUUCAAUAUUCCCAGGCCAUACCUGACGAGGCAGUUACUCGAGCCACCCCGUGUCGCGCAGCCCGUACAAAGAUUCCUGUUGUUUCAGGCUGCGCCUUUCACGAAUACACACGCAGUCGCCUACGCCCGGCACAUGUGUCUCUCUCGCUCUUACUCUCCGCGCACACGUUUAUAUUCUGGAAAAAGAGACACACAGGCCUGCAGGUAUACCUGCUGAAUGGGCAAACAUUCGUUAAAACAAGCGCGAGUCGCGCUGAACGUGUCUCCUCCGAGUUCCAAUAACGUAUGUACAGACUGCUCGAGCGAGUUUUUCAGAAUUUCGUCGCGUAGAUUGUUGACUUCUUUCGCUUGUGGGACGUACGCGGAGCGUCGCCUUUCGAGAAAACCUCGUUUUUCACGGAUGUACCAAAAAAGGCCGGGUUCUCGAGAGAAUAAAAAAAUUAAAAUCGGACACAAGGGAGGCGCUUCCGUAGUAAAAAGGCGCAAUAAAAUUUUCGGAGCACGCUGGGGAGACAGCCGCGUAUAAUUACCGCACGCUUUUACAGCCUCCUCCUUUUCCUGCGUUUUUACACUUGUACAUGCAUACAGAGAAAGCGAGAGAGGGAAAAUUUUACGAGCCGGCGGCGAAUAUUCUAUUUAAAAGUUAAUCAUUUACAUUACGCUUUCUGGCCCGGCGACGUUUAUGAUUUAGCAAUUUGCUCGGCUCCCUCUCUCUCUCUCUCUCUCUCUCUCUCUCGUAGCCUCGAAAUUCCAUUAAUUCUCCGAGAUUUCGCGCUACGCGACGUGUACGCACGCAUCCAUCAUCGCGCGCUUGCGAGUGUGCGUCUGCAGGGCUCUCUUGGAAAAAUUCUAUAGCUGCGCACAAAAGAGCCUCGGCGACUAUGUUUAGACCCGUUCGUAAAAAAAAAAGAAAAAAAAGAAAAAAAAAAGAAAAAUCGACGAGCCUCCAUCUCUCCCACGCGCAGUAAAAGCUUGAUUUAAGGUGUACGGAUGACUGCGAGAAGGACUUUUCCGUUUUUUGGUCUAUUUCGCGCGUGCGACUUUUUGGCAGCAAUAAACCUUUUCUUCAUACCGUAUACAUAAUCUCGAGACAGAGAGGAGCAGCAGCUGUAAUGCAAAAUCCAAAGAAGCUCUCGCGGCUACGUAGGUACCGUAAUAAAUUUCCUCUCGGCUGCGCUUUUUUCCGCAUCCCUCGUCCUUUCUCUUUUUCCGCGGUUCGUCCAGCUCUGCAUCCUUCGCUUCCUGCCUUCCGCGAAUAGAGAUAGAGAGGGUUUUUCGCGGAUUGCCGCUUUUCUCGACAAAGUUGCUUAACCAAUUUGAUUACAACUGUCGCGCGCGCAAGGAAAAAAAUCCAAUUCCGUUAAUAUCCGGCGGCUCGCUAAUUCCUACAUCCCAUUACCUUAAAAUCUCGCUCGCUCGCGCGUGUAACGAGGACGAUGAAGCGGGCUGCACUUUCGGAUUAAAAAGGCUUCCCUCCUCUCCGCGAUUAAUAGACGCACGCAGGUCUGAAAAUCCUAUGCAUUAACUUGCGCGAUUCGCUACGUGAGCGUCCUCGUCGUCGUAAAUUUCACAUAAAAUUAUUUCCAUCCAUCAAUCACCAUUUCCUCCUCUCUCCGUCUAUAUCUCUCUCUCUCUCUCUCUCUCUCGGAGCGAGCGGCUCUGUUCCUCUCGGCGCUGCGCGCGGCCAUCCUUCAUCGACCUUCUCUCCCUCCUGCUUUUCCUUUCAAAACCUCGAGAGAGAGAGAGAGAGAGAGAAAGAGACAGAGAGCAGGGUCU